rnacentral:rRNA from 1 species
UACAGAGGGGGCAAGCGUUGUUCGGAAUUACUGGGCGUAAAGGGCGCGUAGGCGGCCUGUUAAGUCGAACGUGAAAUCCCCGGGCUCAACCCUGGGAACUGCGUCCGAUACUGGCAGGCUUGAAUCCGGGAGAGGGAUGUGGAAUUCCAGGUGUAGCGGUGAAAUGCGUAGAUAUCUGGAGGACACCGGUGGCGAAGGCGACAUCCUGGACCGGUAUGACGCUGAGGCGCGAAAGCCAGGG